UUGGAUUUUAAGCUAAGUGUUAUUACAGAAGAGUCAAAAAGUUUUUAAAAAAUUAAAAGUUUAUAACGUAAAAAACUUACACUAAGGCUGAGUGCAGUGGCCCAUGCCUUCAAUCACAGCAACUCGAGAGGCUGAGGUGGGGGAAUUGCUUGAGGACAGGAGUUCAAGCCUGCAGUGAGACAUGAUCACACCACUGCACUCUAGCCCUGGUGACCGGGUGAGACACCAACUCAAAAAAAAAAAAAAAAAGCUACAGUAAGCUAAAGAUACUUUACUAUUGAAGAAACUUUUUUUGUAAAUUUAGUAUAGCCUAAGUGUACAGUGUUUAUAAAAUGUACAGUAAUGUACAGUAAUAUCCUAGGCCUUCACAUUCACUCACCACUCACUGACUCACACCCAGAGCAACUUCCAGUCCUG
rnacentral:lncRNA from 10 species